rnacentral:tRNA from 5 species
GGGCCUGUAGCUCAGGGGUUAGAGCAGUCGACUCAUAAUCGAUUGGUCGCGGGUUCGAACCCCGCCGGGCCCACCA